rnacentral:rRNA from 1 species
AUGGUGAUGGAUGACCACCAACUCCGGCUACUCCAGAUCCCUCCGCCUAUCCACCCCGAGGAUCCGGAUUCUCCUCUCCCGGAGACCAUCCUCAUCGACUCCUUCGGCUACCUCAGCGACCGCACCAACGCCACCACCGCCCGUGGCCGCAGGAGCAGGACCAAGAAGAAGGGCAAGCGCAUCCUGGUCACCUUCUGGCCGGCUGCCCCGCCGCGCGUCUCCUGCUUCACCGUCCACUGCCCAGAUCUGAAGCCCGAUGCAUUCGCUGACAUGCCCAAGAUCUCCUAUACGGAGGAUGGCCUCGUCCUGCUCCGCAUCACCAUCUGCCCCGAGCGCCAGCACGUGUACACCAAGAACAUUCGCUACUUCGUCUACCAGGCCGGCACCAAGAAGACGCCGCCGUCGGUCAAGCUCGUCCACUGUCCCCCCUACUUCAGGAUCUACGACCAAGAGGUUGCCUUACUGCACUGCCACGACCAAGAGAUGUUCUUCAUCGCCGUGCUCCGCAGGGCCUUCAUUGAGCGGGAGUACACCGACGGGCACUUUAAUCUCCACCUGUACAACUCCAAGACAAAGGCAUGGAGCACCAAGUUGAUGCUUCUUGAUUCGCCCAAGGAUUUUGAGUUCCAGUCUCCCAACAAGGGGAUCACCAUUGGAGGGGAGCUUGGUUCAGUGGGUUGGGUCGACCUCGGGCGGGGCAUUAUCAUCUGUGACCUUCUCCUCCUUGACAGCAACCAGAGUCUUCGCUACAUCCCGCUACCUUCGCCGCUGUCGCCCGAUCCGCUCAUUGGUUAUCCGUUGUAUGUUCAGAACAUCACUGUUCUCCAAGGUUACAUCAAGUAUUUUGAGAUGCACAAUAACGUCAGACCGGGCUCAGACACUGGAAGCUCCCCGAUAUCUCAAGGUUGGAUUGCUGCAACAAAAAAAUUAAAAAUUUCAAGCAUUGGUUCCACUUCUGAUAGCAGCAACUGGGAGGAGGACUGCACUAUCAGAUGCCCAGAUGAUGUACCAUUGGAUAACCCUGUGUAUGCCCAAAUGCUACUACCUAAUCUGCAGGAGCGUGGUGAUGAUACCAAGCCAAACCUCAAGAGAACUUGUCUAGGCUAUCCUGCUCUUAGCUUGCAUGACAGUGAUGUUGUUUACCUUAUGCACAUGCCUGAUACCCUUGGGGAUAAGGCUUGUGUUAUUGCUCUUGAUAUGAGGAACAAGGCUGUAAAAGGCGUGGCUAAUUUUGGCGGCUCUGGAAGACCCCUGGGUCAUUGUUUCACCUACUUUCCCAGUGGGAUCUCCAAGCAUCUGGGCAUUUUCUCAUCAACCAGGAGAUAUUUGCCAGUGGCGAUCUACAACCGGCCAGCCGUAUCACGGUUCAUGUUUUUGUUGGUUCGGAGUGCCCUUUCCACUGGAAUUUAUUGUGAUGAAUCGAUCUGGCCAUAUCCUGACUGA